AUGCCACUGGACUUCACGAAGCACUUCCCGGCCCUGCCCACAGAGUUCAAGCUCAGGAAGAACACCGACUGCUCAUGGAGGGUGACUGUCCGGCUGAUGGACGACAGGUUCACCCUUGAUCAGGGUUGGGCCCCCUUCGUCGUCGUCCAUCAGAUCAGGAUCGACUACAUGGUGACGUUCAAGCUGCUCACUCCCUAGAUGCUCAAGGUCAUCGUCUUCAACGACGACGGCAUUCAAGUGGUGACCAAGUGCGGGAGGCACGACGACGCCUUUGCCGUGAACGUCUAG
rnacentral:rRNA from 1 species